GAGAGAGGUACAAUAAAAGCUGCUAACUCUUAUAACUGAAACUAAAACCUCAGCUCUCUCAC
rnacentral:tRNA from 1 species